rnacentral:rRNA from 1 species
UACAGAGGGUGCAAGCGUUAAUCGGAAUUACUGGGCGUAAAGCGUGCGUAGACGGUUGCGUAAGUCAGAUGUGAAAGCCCCGGGCUCAACCUGGGAAUUGCAUUUGAGACUGCGUAGCUAGGGUGCGGAAGAGGGAAGCGGAAUUUCCGGUGUAGCGGUGAAAUGCGUAGAUAUCAGGAGGAACACCGGUGGCGAAGGCGGGUCUCUGGGCCGAUACUGACGCUGAGGAGCGAAAGCGUGGGGAGCGAACAGG